UACACGACCGUACCGCAAACCGACACUGGUGCGCGAGAUGAGUAUUCUAAGGCGCUUGAGAGAACUCAGGAGAAGGAACUCGGCAAAUUGACACCGUAACUUCGGAAGAAGGUGUGCCUUUAGUAGGUGAACCUGUACAAGGGGAGCCCAAUGAGGUUGCAAAAAAUCGGUGGCUGCGACUGUUUAAUAAAAACACAGCACUCUGCAAACACGAAAGUGGACGUAUAGGGUGUGACGCCUGCCCGGUGCUGGAAGAUUAAAUGAUGGGGUGCAAGCUCUUGAUUGAAGUCCCAGUAAACGGCGGCCGUAACGAUAACGGUCCUAAGGUAGCGAAAUUCCUUGUCGGGUAAGUUCCGACCUGCACGAAUGGCGUAACGAUGGCCACACUGUCUCCUCCUGAGACUCAGCGAAGUUGAAAUGUUUGUGAUGAUGCAAUCUCCCCGCGGAAAGACGGAAAGACCCCAUGAACCUUUACUGUAGCUUUGUAUUGGACUUUGAACAGAUCUGUGUAGGAUAGGUGGGAGGCUUUGAAGUGUGGUCGCUAGAUCGCAUGGAGCCAACGUUGAAAUACCACCCUGGUGUGUUUGAGGUUCUAACCUAGGCCCGUAAUCCGGGUCGGGGACAGUGCAUGGUAGGCAGUUUGACUGGGGCGGUCUCCUCCCAAAGCGUAACGGAGGAGUUCGAAGGUACGCUAGGUACGGUCGGACAUCGUGCUAAUAGUGCAAUGGCAUAAGCGUGCUUAACUGCGAGACUGACAAGUCGAGCAGAUGCGAAAGCAGGACAUAGUGAUCCGGUGGUUCUGUAUGGAAGGGCCAUCGCUCAACGGAUAAAAGGUACUCUGGGGAUAACAGGCUGAUACCGCCCAAGAGUUCAUAUCGACGGCGGUGUUUGGCACCUCGAUGUCGGCUCAUCUCAUCCUGGGGCUGUAGCCGGUCCCAAGGGUAUGGCUGUUCGCCAUUUAAAGAGGUACGUGAGCUGGGUUUAAAACGUCGUGAGACAGUUUGGUCCCUAUCUUCCGUGGGCGCUGCAGAUUUGAGGAAGCCUGCUCCUAGUACGAGAGGACCGGAGUGGACACACCUCUGGUGUAUCGGUUGUCACGCCAGUGGCAUUGCCGAGUAGCUAUGUGUGGAAGAGAUAACCGCUGAAAGCAUCUAAGCGGGAAACUCGUUUCAAGAUGAGAUCUGCCGGGGCCUUGAGCCCCCUAAAGAGUCGUUCAAGACCAGGACGUUGAUAGGUCGGGUGUGGAAGCGCAGUAAUGCGUUAAGCUAACCGAUACUAAUUGCUCGUGCGGCUUGACCAU
rnacentral:rRNA from 1 species